AGUUCACCGAAGCUCCGGCUGAGGUCUUGCUGAGCACCCGCAGGCGCCUGUGUAUCAAUAAAUCGCCUCUUGCUUUUGCAGCCAGUGUCUCGUGUGCUUUUCCUUGGACAGGGAGUCGGAGGGUCUUUCACAGGUUCCUGCAGAGAGUGACAGACUUCUUUCUGGGUCUGGAGCUGGAGCGGUGAUGUCCAGGACAGAAGCUACAAGGUAAGGGGCACAGAAGCCUGUUGUGGGAGGGUCUGAUGCUUUGUAUUUUCCUCUUAGGGUCCAAGGCAACGUAUCAGCCUACAGCAGGUAAAGGGGAGACCUGCUUAUGGUCACACCCAGGUAGAGGGAUGGAAGGUGUUUGGGGAGGGCUAGGCAGGGCUCUUGUCUCCAGAGGCUGAGUAGGAGGACCCUGGCCUCCUGACCUCUCCCCGCAGCAGGCUGAGUGCACUUCAUCCCCUGCUUCCUGGUUCAUUCUGUGGCUCAGAGGCCAGGUAAGUGGCUCUGGAAGAGGAAGUCCCAGGAGUGAUAAGGAGGAUGUUGCUUGGAGGUCUUUCUCUCCCAGAAGAAUCACAACACAGGCUGCUUACAAGGAACUGGACAUCUUACCCUCCCGGAAAACCAGGAGGUCUUUGAUGUCAAUAUGUGAGCAAGUGUGAACACAUGCCCAGGAUGCACAGUUGGUGAGAAGUGACCACUAUGGCCAUUGUGUUUGUUUCUUUCCCUCUACCUGCUAUGGGAAGGAAUGUAGGGAGGUGAGGCCGCUCAGACCUGGAGGACAUGGUAAGGGCUAUUUCAACUGUUAAUUUUUCCAUUGAUUCUGUGUGUGAUUCUUUAUGGGAGCUAGGAAGAGCCUGAGACAGAAGAUGCAAGAGGGGAGGACCUUGGAGCAUCUGGGGGAUGGCAGGCCUUGCUGUCUUUGCCACAGGAAGUGCACCGUCCCUCCCUGGGUUUGGAAUGGACAAGAGCCUGCUGUCCCCACCUGGAGGAGUCUUCCUACUGCAUAGCAGGUUGGAGCUCUUUAUGCAUUUUUCCUGCAAUUUCAGCAGCUCUCCACCGCUUCAACCCAGCCUCAUGGAAAUUUGGCUGUGACCUGCGGACAGGAGAUGGCUUUUCUCCGUCUCUUCCCACACCUAGUCAUGCCCCACACGUGCUUACUGCCCAUCCACCUGUGGCCAGAUUUGGAGACUUGGCACAGGAGAGGGAGAUGCAGAGGCUGGACCUAUCAGGCCAGGGAGCUACCUUCUGGAGACUUCAAUCAGAAGGGGUACGGUUUACAAACAGGCACGGAGAACCCAGCAGCAAGAAGUUUUCCCUGAUAUUAUUUUUGGGUGCAGGCACAGGACUGGGGAUGGAACCCAGCGAUGCUUUACCUCUGAUCUACAUUCCUCGUCCUUUUCACUUUUUAUGGAGACAGGGUCUUGCUAAGUUGCUAAGGCUGGUCUGGAACUUGCAAUCUGCCUUCUUCAGCCUCCUGAGAAGCUGA
rnacentral:lncRNA from 1 species